ensembl:lncRNA
CUUGGCUCCCUCCCAAAAAGUGUAGAGAUGGGAAAAGUGGGUCCCUAGGCAUUUGCACCGCAGGCAGCAAGCCUGCGUUUGGCUGCUUGGCUGGCCAAGCCUGCUGGAGCAAAAUCUCUAAGACCUUAAGAUGUAUGAAUAACAUUUGGCUUGAGUCCAUUUCCUCAGUGCCGGACAGCUUGCUGCUGAAUGAAGUUUUUUUUACUCAGGUCCUCAGAGUCAGACCCUUGCCCAGAUCCAGCUGUCCCUGGUAAUUAAAUUUUAAUGCCUCAAGCUGGGAGUUUGCAUUGGUUUUUAAAAGAGGCUGCAAGCGGUCUGCUGUGGUCACCUGCAAGCUUUGAAGCUCUCAUCUGCUGAUAAGGGGGAGGUCCUAACUGCUGAGGUCCUGGCUGAGCUGGUGUGACAGUUCUCCAGCCCCAGAAGGAGAACUAAGGGGAUUCCUCUUGUGCAGCAUUAAGCACAGCAACAAAUCAGAGCAGAUGUGGCUCAAUGAAACCAUCGUGCAGCUCAGGAUGAGUGAGGUGGCUACAGACAGCUUUGAAUAUGUGUGUGCUUGUGUGUCUGUGUACAAUAUAGCCGAAGAAGCCUCCACUGCUGUUUGUGCUGCAGAACAGAUGACUUGGAAAAGGCUCUCGAAGUUCUGGGACUUCACCCUGACAUGUCCUGGAUUUGAACAUCCCCAGGUCUGGAGGCUGCCUGCUGGCUGGUGUGGGCUUAUCUCUGCAGGAGGCAAGCUGAAGCGCUCCGUGCCAUUGCCAUGCUUUUUAAAUGAGGAGGAGAAGAGGAAAGCUGAAGCCUUUACUCUGCCUGUUGGAUGAAAAUUAUUUGUGGCUGAUGAACGGCUGAGUAGCAAUAUGCAAAUUCCCCUGGAUGUACAUAGAAUGGUCGUCUGUGGCACAGCAGCAUUAGUCUGGCUGUAGGAUGAUUCACAUGCCUGAAGAAUAAAAGGUGCUUCACCUCAAAUAAUACCGUUUUUGUGCUUAUUGUUAUCGCUGUGAUUAAACCUCUGCCACUGUCUGAUUUUGGAGACUGGUGAACAUCAGCCGUUCUUAGAGACAGCAGAGCCAGAAUUACCUAUGGCUGCGGAGGGGAUCUGGGACAGUGCGGCUAAGGAGAGCACAGUGUGUUUCUAAGUGGGCUACAGAACAUCAUUAUCAUAUUUCUUCUGGAACCUGCUUUCUGGGCUGAAACACAGAAUGGCUUCCACUGAAGGUGUGUAUAGAAUCAGAGGGCUAUUCCACACCUGUAAACUGGACAACCAUCAUGGUGCCUAUGGGAUCUGUUCAGGCCACAUCUAUUAGGAACCUGGCCUGUGCAGCCCAGAAGACAGCUAGAGAUGGAUGGUGCUGGCGUGCGGCCACUUCGGAAGACAGAGCUGGAUCAGCCUGCCGGGGACAGAGGCAGACAAAUGGAACCUGCAGGACAAGCAUGCCAUUACCUUGUUUGCCAAACUCAUUACAGAGAAGUUGCAAAGUUCCAGUAUGCUGCCCCUGGCCUCCGAGACAAAGCUGUCAGCUGGUUCGUGAAUAAUUCCAGGCCACAUUCAGGCAGCCCGUUGUCGCUUGGCGCCCAGCAUGCUGCAGGUGAAGAUGGAAGCUCCAGCCCCAAGGAGGAAUAAUGCUGACCCCCAUCAGCACCAGCUCCUCACACUCAGCAGAGAUCAGGUGCUCUGGGGCAGAAAGCCCUGACUCAUGGCAAUCCAAGCUUCAGACAAAGUUGGUUGGAGCACCAUGAUCAUAAACUCCAUCAUAGAUUGGCUAUCAGCAGGAUGGAGGAAGAAGUAUGUCAUAACUUCUGUAACAGACUGCAAAUGCUUUGGCCAAUGGAUUGAUGUGCCCUGUGAUUUAACAGGUGGCUGCAUGCUUCGCAGAUGAAUCGAUAUGGAGGAAGAAAGCCCUAAUUUGCUGCAUCCUUUGACUUUUCAAGUCAUGACCAAUGGAGACGUUUCAAAAUCAUGGCUCAGAGGUACCUGGCAAAGCUCCCGUGGUGCUGCACCUUGCUGUCUCCUGCACUGAUGGACUAGGAGUGGCCAUCUACGUUUUUUAUUUGCAAAAACAGAAUCCCUUUCAGCACAGCCAAACUCUUCUCUUUGAGAUUCAACAUAGCCAAACUCUUCUUUUUUAAUCUCUCCAUCUGCAAAGCUUCCCAAAUACUUCUGAUCCAGAAGCCAGGAUCGUACGGUGCCUGUGAGUGGGGCUGCUGCUGCGCUGCGAAGGCCUGUCUGAAAGGCUCUGACAGGAAGAAAAUAUGUUUUCUGCAGCCCCUGGCUUCCUGCCAGCUGCACGAUAGCUGCUGCGGAGACAGACUAGCCCAGACGGUCCUAAUACAUCAUAAUAUUAAUACUGCUAUUUUUGUCUGUACAGCUUUUGAGAUAGCAUCAUCAAAACUGGACACGGUGCUCAGUUGGGCACUUCCAGCACUGCAGGGUAUCAGAGAACACCUACGAGAAACCAGAAUGUGAGCUGGGCAGUAGGAGCCCUGAGGCCCAUCUCCUGCACACUGUGGCAGUGAAGGGAAUUACCACAAAGUCAGCGUUGGAAGUGUCUGGCCUUCCAAGGUUGGUUGAGUUUGAUGCUUAGGAUGUAGUGACAGAGCACCUGGGUUUUCCCAUGAUGUCACCAGAUGGAUUAACUUCAAAAGGAUCAGCCAUCCUGAUCCUCCUACCCUGACCUCACCAGCCAUGUACAGACACCUGGCUUCCACAGCAGCACAAAGAAACCAGCUCUUAUCCUCAGAUGCUUAAACUGAUUGCAUCCCUGAUCCGUUUGGUCAGCCUCUGAAUGGCACUUCCCCUUGCUUGAGUCAUUUAAUCACCGCUGCCAAUCAGCACUAUUGAGCAGAGCAACAAUACGUCUCAAAGCUCAAUCACCUUCACAAUCCUCUCACUGUCAGCCCAUGUGUCUCCCUGCAGGGCAGAAUUACUGUAGAUGAGAUGCAGGGUGGUUUUGUAAUUGAAAUGUUCGCUCAUAUGUGCGUGUGUCUCAUGAGGACGCGUGACUAUGUGUAUAUACAUGGGUAUGUGUGCCGUGCUUUGAAAUGCAGACUAAGUGUUGGGGGGCAGCGUGCAUUCAGAAAGGAAAUUAUGCAUUGAAACUGCAUUUGCAUCUUCUUAACUAUUCAGUCAGCUGAGAAAUACACUGAGAAGCAGCAGCAGUGCGCAAGGCUUGCUGUGACACUGAGCUGCACUCGUGUGCUCAGCUGAGUGGGCUCACAUGGGCAUGAGAGACAAUCACAGAAUCAUUGAUGUUGGAAAAGAUCACUAAGAUCAUCUGGAGACCCUGUGCAGGGACGUCUUUUGGUGCUAGAUCUCCUCAUCAUCAUCACAUGGCACAAGCCACUCACAUUCCACUUCUGAAAUUCAGCAACUUGCGCUGGAAAUUGGCUUGUGAGGAGAGGGGCCUUGGGGAACCGGCUCAGCUUGGUGAGACGGGCGGUCCCAGCUCAGUGCUGGCCGCCCAUGGCCCAGGGAGGUGGGGAAGUGUUCCUGCCUGCCUUCCCAUCUCUUGCCCUUUCCUUCCCAGAAAAAUCUCUGAAGUUUUCAUUUCCACCUUCAAUCCAAAUCAAAUUUCAGACUUCAAAUUUCAAAUUUCGGCUCAAGAAAUGGUGAUUUUCCAUUCCCAUUCCUCAUUCCUUUUCAGCUUUGUCCCCUGCUUUCUCUCUGCUUCACCCCUCCUGAUAUUCAGCAGCCGGAGACAAACCUUUGUGUGCUCUGUGCUCUGGAGCAGCCUUCAUAAACACUGCCUUUGCUUUCUGGGAAAGUCCAGCAGCAGGGACACGUGUUAGCUCUGGGUCAUUCCAAGGGGUACCAAGUCCUGCAACCCUUAAGCUCAAUGGCGUUGCUGGGAUCAUUGGUGUUUGACCCUGUAUGUAGUGUAAGGCUAAUGGUAUGUAAUGCUCUGUUGUGAUUCAUCAAUCAUGCAUCUAGAUACUAAUUAUAAUCCGCCUCUUAUGUAUGCCACUAGCCUAUAAUUUUAAUCCCAAACAUUUGUGUGUGUAAUGAGGCAGUGCUUUUGUGCCUUACAUCCUGGUGUAAGCCUGUGAUUUGCGCCAUGCUGGAAAUACAAAAUCAAAUAAGAGGGAAUAAAAAUAAAACAGCGGAAAACUUUUGCCCUUUGAAUUUGACAUAUAAAAAGUGUUGCGAUGACUUCAAAAUUUGCAAAGCAAACAACUGAAUGUGCAUGUGUCUGCAGCCAUGUAUAUCAAGGUAACUUUCAAAGCCC